GAGUAGCUGGGACUACAGGCGCCCGCCAUUACGCCCGGCUAAUUUUAUUUUAUUUUAUUUUUAGUAGAGACAGGGUUUCACUGUGUUAGCCAGGAUGGUCUGUGUCUCCUGACCUCGUGAUCCACCCGCCUCGGCCUCCCAAAGUGCUGGGAUUACAAAAUGCGUGAGCCACCACGCCCGGCUGAUGGUUUUAUUAAUAUAAGGGACUUUAACCCUUUGCUCAGGACUUCUACUUGCUGCUGCCAUGUGAAGAAGGACAUAUUUGCUUCCCCUUUCACCAUGAUUAAAAGCAAUUUUGUUAAUCACUUUAGCACCAAUUCUUGCAUCCCUGGCAAUACUCAGAACUGCUUCCAUCCAAGUCUUUGAUGUGGGAAAGAAACACACACACACUCUUUCGCAUGUAAUCUGAAAACAAUUCACCUCUUGCCAAUGAAUGCACAGCACUCCACUUUAAUAGAGAGCAAGUUCUGUGGAGGUUUCUAAUCCUUUCUGCCAAAGAAGAGAAGAGAGAGAAUCACUCAGGAUCCCAUCCAGAAUACAUUACCUUUAGUCAUCAUGUCUCCUGUGGCUCUUCUUGGCUGUGACAGUUUCUCAGCUUUCCCAGUUUUAAUGAACUUGCCAUUUUCAUCAGAUUGUACCAAGACCUACUAUCAAUAUGACUUAUGACUAGUGGUGCUGACCUUGAUCACCUGGCUGAGGUAGUUCUUGUCAGGCUUCUCCACUGUCGAGUUGCUCUCCCCAUCCCCCUUUUCCAUAUUGUACUCUUUGAAAGAAAGUCACUAUAUGCAGCCCUUCCUUAAAAAUAUUAAAAUGAACUAGCUUAA
rnacentral:lncRNA from 1 species